UACGUAGGGGGCAAGCGUUGUCCGGAAUUAUUGGGCGUAAAGAGCUCGUAGGCGGUUUGUCGCGUCUGCUGUGAAAUCCCGAGGCUCAACCUCGGGCUUGCAGUGGGUACGGGCAGACUAGAGUGCGGUAGGGGAGACUGGAAUUCCUGGUGUAGCGGUGGAAUGCGCAGAUAUCAGGAGGAACACCGAUGGCGAAGGCAGGUCUCUGGGCCGCAACUGACGCUGAGGAGCGAAAGCCAGGGGAGCAAACGGG
rnacentral:rRNA from 1 species